AGCGGUAACAGAAAGUAGCUUGCUACUUUGCUGACGAGCGGCGGACGGGUGAGUAAUGCUUGGGAACAUGCCUUGAGGUGGGGGACAACAGUUGGAAACGACUGCUAAUACCGCAUAAUGUCUACGGACCAAAGGGGGCUUCGGCUCUCGCCUUUAGAUUGGCCCCNGNGGGGAUUAGCUAGUUGGUGAGGUAAUGGCUCACCAAGGCAACGAUCCCUAGCUGGUUUGAGAGGAUGAUCAGCCACACUGGAACUGAGACACGGUCCAGACUNCNACGGGAGGCAGCAGUGGGGAAUAUUGCACAAUGGGCGAAAGCCUGAUGCAGCCAUGCCGCGUGUGUGAAGAAGGCCUUCGGGUUGUAAAGCACUUUCAGUCAGGAGGAAAGGGUGUGAGUUAAUACCUCACAUCUGUGACGUUACUGACAGAAGAAGCACCGGCUAACUCCGUGCCAGCAGCCGCGGUAAUACGGAGGGUGCGAGCGUUAAUCGGAAUUACUGGGCGUAAAGCGUACGCAGGCGGUUUGUUAAGCGAGAUGUGAAAGCCCCGGGCUCAACCUGGGAACUGCAUUUCGAACUGGCAAACUAGAGUGUGAUAGAGGGUGGUAGAAAUUUCNNNNGUAGCGGUGAAAUGCGUAGAGAUCUGAAGGAAUACCGAUGGCNAANGNAGCCACCUGGGUCAACACUGACGCUCAUGUACNAAAGCGUGGGGAGCAAACGGGAUUAGAUACCCCGGUAGUCCACGCCGUNNNGAUGUCUAC
rnacentral:rRNA from 1 species